AGUGAACGCUGGCGGUAGGCCUAACACAUGCGAGUCGAACGGCAGCACAGUAAGAGCUUGCUCUUACGGGUGGCGAGUGGCGGACGGGUGAGGAAUACAUCGGAAUCUACUUUUUCGUGGGGGAUAACGUAGGGAAACUUACGCUAAUACCGCAUACGACCUACGGGUGAAAGCAGGGGAUCUUCGGACCUUGCGCGAUUGAAUGAGCCGAUGUCGGAUUAGCUAGUUGGCGGGGUAAAGGCCCACCAAGGCGACGAUCCGUAGCUGGUCUGAGAGGAUGAUCAGCCACACUGGAACUGAGACACGGUCCAGACUCCUACGGGAGGCAGCAGUGGGGAUUAUUGGACAAUGGGCGCAAGCCUGAUCCAGCCAUACCGCGUGGGUGAAGAAGGCCUUCGGGUUGUAAAGCCCUUUUGUUGGGAAAGAAAAGCAGCAGGUUAAUACCCCGCUGUUCUGACGGUACCCAAAGAAUAAGCACCGGCUAACUUCGUG
rnacentral:rRNA from 1 species